rnacentral:rRNA from 1 species
UACGAAGGGGGCUAGCGUUGCUCGGAAUUACUGGGCGUAAAGGGCGCGUAGGCGGAUAGUUUAGUCAGAGGUGAAAGCCCAGGGCUCAACCUUGGAACUGCCUUUGAUACUGGCUAUCUUGAGUACGGGAGAGGUGAGUGGAACUCCGAGUGUAGAGGUGAAAUUCGUAGAUAUUCGGAAGAACACCAGUGGCGAAGGCGGCUCACUGGCCCGAUACUGACGCUGAGGCACGAAAGCGUGGGGAGCAAACAGG